AUGCGAGCACGUCCCCGACCUCCUCCUAGUGAGCCUCAUCGAUUCCCCCCUUUCCCCUUUUAUUCGUUGCCGUCGUCCCCGAGCUCGGUUGUCCUCUUCCAUGGCCGCGUUCGAGCCUCAGUGUACGCGCUCGUCGUUGCGCCCCCCGCUCUCGUGCUGCUGCUUGCCCGAGGGACGCGCCCGCGCAGGCCGCGUCUGCCCUGUCGCUGCGCCGCUGCUACUGCUCCACCGGGCCUGCUGCUCGCGCUGCUGCCGCGUUCUGAUGCUCACUGCUCGUUGCUAUUGUUGUUUGUUGCUGCCACCGCCAUUGCUGCCGCCGCUGCCAGCUACUGCUGCCCCUGUGUGCUGCUCACUGCUGGUGCUCAUUUGCUGCCCGGCCGGCCGCGCCGUGGCCAUGGCACAGCAUGGCUACGUGCGUGUGAGCACCUGUACGAGCGGCUGUGUUCUUCACAGCGUGGCCGGCCAUUCUUAGUUAGGAUUAGGAUAGAUUAG
rnacentral:rRNA from 1 species